rnacentral:lncRNA from 1 species
CCGUCGUUGUGUAAACCCUGGCGCCCCUGAUAUCUAUAUACACGAGGGGUUGUACUUUGUAGGGGACUUACGCUCAUUAUGACUAGGGUUUUAGACCAUAAUAUACGAUCUCGAGAUAGAUCAACGCUGUACAUUGUACCACUUCAUCAAUACAAUAAGAGCAUGACGUAGGGUGUUACCUCCAUCAAGAGGGCCUGAACCUGGGUAAAACAUCUUCUCCUUCGUCCCUUGUUACCCAUCGAUCCAAGAUCCACAGUUUGGACCCCCUGCUCGAGAUCAGUCGGUUUUGACACCGACACUUGGGCGCAUCACCCUUUGCAC